rfam:Arabidopsis thaliana chromosome 3, complete sequence.
AGAUGCGAUCAUACCAUCACUAAUGCACCAGAUCCCAUCAGAACUUCGCAGUUAAGCGUGCUUGGGCGAGAGUAGUACUAGGAUGGGUGGCCUCCAAGAAAGUCCUCGUGUUUCAUCAC